CACGGGAUGCCUUAGUACGGCGAGUGAAGCGGCAAAAGCUCAAAUUUGAAAUCUGGUACCUUCGGUGCCCGAGUUGUAAUUUGGAGAGGGCAACUUUGGGGCCGUUCCUUGUCUAUGUUCCUUGGAACAGGACGUCAUAGAGGGUGAGAAUCCCGUGUGGCGAGGAGUGCGGUUCUUUGUAAAGUGCCUUCGAAGAGUCGAGUUGUUUGGGAAUGCAGCUCUAAGUGGGUGGUAAAUUCCAUCUAAAGCUAAAUAUUGGCGAGAGACCGAUAGCGAACAAGUACAGUGAUGGAAAGAUGAAAAGAACUUUGAAAAGAGAGUGAAAAAGUACGUGAAAUUGUUGAAAGGGAAGGGCAUUUGAUCAGACAUGGUGUUUUGUGCCCUCUGCUCCUUGUGGGUAGGGGAAUCUCGCAUUUCACUGGGCCAGCAUCAGUUUUGGUGGCAGGAUAAAUCCAUAGGAAUGUAGCUUGCCUCGGUAAGUAUUAUAGCCUGUGGGAAUACUGCCAGCUGGGACUGAGGACUGCGACGUAAGUCAAGGAUGCUGGCAUAAUGGUUAUAUGCCGCCCGUCU
rnacentral:rRNA from 1 species